GGCUCAGGACGAACGCUGGCGGCGUGCCUAAUACAUGCAAGUCGAGCGGACAGAAGGGAGCUUGCUCCCGGAUGUUAGCGGCGGACGGGUGAGUAACACGUGGGUAACCUGCCUGUAAGACUGGGAUAACUCCGGGAAACCGGAGCUAAUACCGGAUAGUUCCUUGAACCGCAUGGUUCAAGGAUGAAAGACGGUUUCGGCUGUCACUUACAGAUGGACCCGCGGCGCAUUAGCUAGUUGGUGAGGUAACGGCUCACCAAGGCGACGAUGCGUAGCCGACCUGAGAGGGUGAUCGGCCACACUGGGACUGAGACACGGCCCAGACUCCUACGGGAGGCAGCAGUAGGGAAUCUUCCGCAAUGGACGAAAGUCUGACGGAGCAACGCCGCGUGAGUGAUGAAGGUUUUCGGAUCGUAAAGCUCUGUUGUUAGGGAAGAACAAGUGCAAGAGUAACUGCUUGCACCUUGACGGUACCUAACCAGAAAGCCACGGCUAACUACGUGCCAGCAGCCGCGGUAAUACGUAGGUGGCAAGCGUUGUCCGGAAUUAUUGGGCGUAAAGGGCUCGCAGGCGGUUUCUUAAGUCUGAUGUGAAAGCCCCCGGCUCAACCGGGGAGGGUCAUUGGAAACUGGGAAACUUGAGUGCAGAAGAGGAGAGUGGAAUUCCACGUGUAGCGGUGAAAUGCGUAGAGAUGUGGAGGAACACCAGUGGCGAAGGCGACUCUCUGGUCUGUAACUGACGCUGAGGAGCGAAAGCGUGGGGAGCGAACAGGAUUAGAUACCCUGGUAGUCCACGCCGUAAACGAUGAGUGCUAAGUGUUAGGGGGUUUCCGCCCCUUAGUGCUGCAGCUAACGCAUUAAGCACUCCGCCUGGGGAGUACGGUCGCAAGACUGAAACUCAAAGGAAUUGACGGGGGCCCGCACAAGCGGUGGAGCAUGUGGUUUAAUUCGAAGCAACGCGAAGAACCUUACCAGGUCUUGACAUCCUCUGACAACCCUAGAGAUAGGGCUUUCCCUUCGGGGACAGAGUGACAGGUGGUGCAUGGUUGUCGUCAGCUCGUGUCGUGAGAUGUUGGGUUAAGUCCCGCAACGAGCGCAACCCUUGAUCUUAGUUGCCAGCAUUCAGUUGGGCACUCUAAGGUGACUGCCGGUGACAAACCGGAGGAAGGUGGGGAUGACGUCAAAUCAUCAUGCCCCUUAUGACCUGGGCUACACACGUGCUACAAUGGACAGAACAAAGGGCUGCGAGACCGCAAGGUUUAGCCAAUCCCACAAAUCUGUUCUCAGUUCGGAUCGCAGUCUGCAACUCGACUGCGUGAAGCUGGAAUCGCUAGUAAUC
rnacentral:rRNA from 1 species